UACGUAGGGUGCAAGCGUUGUCCGGAAUUAUUGGGCGUAAAGAACUCGUAGGCGGUUUGUCGCGUCGAAUGUGAAAUCCCGGGGCUCAACCCCGGGUCUGCAUUCGAUACGGGCAGACUAGAGUUCGGUAGGGGAGUCUGGAAUUCCUGGUGUAGCGGUGAAAUGCGCAGAUAUCAGGAGGAACACCGGUGGCGAAGGCGGGACUCUGGGCCGAUACUGACGCUGAGGAGCGAAAGCGUGGGGAGCAAACAGG
rnacentral:rRNA from 1 species